rnacentral:rRNA from 1 species
GAAACGGACGCUAAUACCGCAUACGUCCUACGGGAGAAAGCAGGGGACCUUCGGGCCUUGCGCUAUCAGAUGAGCCUAGGUCGGAUUAGCUAGUUGGUGAGGUAAUGGCUCACCAAGGCGACGAUCCGUAACUGGUCUGAGAGGAUGAUCAGUCACACUGGAACUGAGACACGGUCCAGACUCCUACGGGAGGCAGCAGUGGGGAAUAUUGGACAAUGGGCGAAAGCCUGAUCCAGCCAUGCCGCGUGUGUGAAGAAGGUCUUCGGAUUGUAAAGCACUUUAAGUUGGGAGGAAGGGCAGUUACCUAAUACGUGAUUGUUUUGACGUUACCGACAGAAUAAGCACCGGCUAACUCUGUGCCAGCAGCCGCGGUAAUACAGAGGGUGCAAGCGUUAAUCGGAAUUACUGGGCGUAAAGCGCGCGUAGGUGGUUUGUUAAGUUGGAUGUGAAAUCCCCGGGCUCAACCUGGGAACUGCAUUCAAAACUGACUGACUAGAGUAUGGUAGAGGGUGGUGGAAUUUCCUGUGUAGCGGUGAAAUGCGUAGAUAUAGGAAGGAACACCAGUGGCGAAGGCGACCACCUGGACUGAUACUGACACU